UAACAACAACAACACAUUUUUAAUGGAGCACAAAACAUUUGUGGCACAGUAGAUUGAAAUUAUAGACAUGCAGAUUAGCAUAUUUAUGUCAGUACCAUGCACACAAUGUGAGCACCGGUUCAGUGAAUCCAAUCGUCUGUUCAAAAUGUAUCCUUUCUUCCUUUAUUUCCAGUAUACCAGUAGUUAAAUCAGUGAUCGGGGACAAAGGAAGUGCAGGCAAAAUGCUGAAUGAUGUCAUGUGCGACAGGCAGUGUCCUAUCAAAACAGCUCUAAUGCCCAGCAGAGCCUGGUCUUACCCAUCGAGAGGCAAAAGCCGUGACCACCCUUCAGCUAAAGAUCAAUGCUCACUCUCUGUGGACUGGAUGCACAAAAAGCCAUUCACUCAGUGACCUUGAGCAGAAGAUUAGAAGAUGAAAGGAAUGGAUUUAGGCCACAGUCCCCAGCCCCCUGCAGCUAUUCUAACUUCACUACAGUGGGUGAUGGGUGCUGUUGGAUUAUACGUAGAGCUGUAGAAAGAGAAUGCAACACAAACAUGUGGAGAAAUAACAGCUAGGAUGCAGCUAUCGUGAUUUCUAUUCUGUUCACAUCCACAUGUCGCAACUUUCACAGUGCAAGGCUUCCUGCUUACUUCCUCUCUGGGUAGCAAUACUUUCUUGCCUGUGGAUUACAGUGACACUAGGCAUGUGUAAGCUCAGGUUUGUUGUUAGUGUGUCUGUAUGAGUGUUUAGUUACCCAAUGAUGUUGUAUGGGCAGCAGUUUGAAUAGAUGUGGUGACUGGUUUCAUGUUUCAGCGUAUAAAUUUUAAAUUUAAAAAAAAUAUAUAGUUGUGCCCAAAAGUUUGCAUACCCCUUGCAGAAUCUGCUAAAUGUCUUGUGAUGGUUCUUCAUGAGUCCUUUGUUUGUCCUGAGCAGUUAAACUGCCCGCCGUUCUUCAGAAAAUCCUCCAGGUCCUACACAUUCUUUGCUUUUCCAGCAUCUUCUGCAUAUUUGACCCCUUUCCAACAGCGGCUAUACGAUGUUGAGAUCCAUCUUUCCAUAUAUGUAUAUGUGGUCUGAUGCAGUUAUGCGGUUAAUGCAGUUUGUAGCACAUAUAACCUAUCAGACACUGGGCUUCCUGGUUUCCCUGCACAGUAGCAGGAUCUUUGCUACAAGUCCAGGUUUCUAAUCAAGAAAUGUAGACUCUUUUAAAUAGUGCUUUAUUCUCCCUUAACAACACAAAGGCACAACUGCCAAAGGAAAGCUUUUAUAAUGAAUUAACACGAGUGCAGGCUGCAGCAACGGAUGCGGUAUGAGAUAGCCUUCAUUAUCCACAGUGCUCCAAAUGCAAUAAUGAUUAAAUGAGUCUCGAAAGACGAGCGCUUUCUUUACAUUCACAAUGUGCAGCCAAGAUAGGGAAGUUUACAGACGAAGCUGCUGUGCUUAUACGGCCACACAGAGAAAUAUGUUCGGCUCUUUCUCAUAUAAUCCAUCCGGUAACGUUCUCUUUCAUGCACUAUGGUAUUUUUUUGUUUGUUUUUUUUGUCCUGUGCAUUAUUUCAUCUAUUUUGCAUUCAUCUGACAAUACUGUAUUAUUUGUAGCUUAUGGCUUGAUACUGCUCUUGCUGUGGCUCUUGAUGAAAAACAUCAGAUGAAAAACAUGAGAGAUGAGGAUCAGUAAUGAGAAUAUUCAUAAGACACUGUACAUGCUAUACAAAUGAUGAUACACUUUAUACAUGAAUAUAGUUAGUAAGUGUUUAAACAAAACAAAACAAAAAACAACAACAACAUAAUAAUAAUAAAUAGAUUUGAUCUGUGGUAUGCAAACUACCGUAUGUCUGGUUUCCACUGAUAUUCAGUGAAUGAAAACAGCUUUAAUCCCCAGUGGAGUCUCAGUGCAUGCACCAGUUGGCUGUACAGUGAAUUACUAAGCAGCUGUUAUUGAGUGGCAUCAGUGUAGUUCAGGCCUAAUGAAGGAUCAGGCUUGAGGGUGAAAGAUGUGGUAAUCAGGCUAAUUACAACAGAAUCAAUGCUAUUGCCAUCUCAUCUCCUCAUCUCUUAAGUUGCAUACUUGGUUAGGUGCAUUUCCUGGAGCCCCAUAUUAUUCUAAUAUUGACAUAACAGGAGAUGUGUAUUAAAAUAAACAACAAACAGAGUGAAAAAGGAAGGUGAGACACUUCAAACUAUCGGGCGUUUCUGCACAGGAAAACGGGGUUUAUAAACAGUAAACACAGCCAUAACAUUAGGUUUCGAUUUCGAUCCUUCGGCCAAGCCAUUAGACCAUUUUACUUUGAUUUGAUGUGUGCUCCUAUAAAGAAAAGUGAUAAGCACUCAUCUGCUACAUUGAUGGCUCAUAUAUAUAUAUAUAUAUAUAUAUAUAUAUAUAUAUAUAUAUAUAUAUAUAUAUAUAUAUGUGUGUGUGUGUGUGUGUGUGUGUGACAUAUUGUGGUUACAUCAAAGUGUCACAUGGUGGCACUGGACUAAACACUUCCACGCUUCUUGCACCAGCCAAUAUCACACAAGACAUUUGGACUUAUGUCCUACGUUAAAAUAGUGCACAAGUUAAUACACCCCAUGUGCAUAACUUUUGCACAACUUCUGAACAGCUCUUAAGUCUGUUGUAAGGUCUGAAUUACGAUGUGGUCAGUUUCGGUAUCAAAUCCUCACUGCGUGUGCUUAACUCCACUCCGAAUAUGGCCCGUAGUAAUGUGUUUUUGAUGGCACGCUGCAAGUUUGAAACAUUCUUCACAUCUUUUGCCGGCUGUAGUUUAAGCAAAUCCAAUGAUAUGGAUCAUGGGUGAGAGUUACUACUUAUAUAUUACUUUGGAGCCAGGUAGUGAAGCUUACACUUUGACGCGACCUGAUCUAUUUGUUAAAUAAACAACAUUUUCUGUCCAGGCAAAAGAUGAUUACUGUAAAAGUCCAAGACGAGAUUUUCAGAGGCCUAAGACUAGUUGUUUAAAGGCCCAACACAAAGGUGAUUACAUUUCAUACUCUAUAUGGCCAAAGAUUUGUGGACACCUGGCCAUUACACCUAUAUGUGUUUCUUUCCCAAACUGUUGCCACAAAUUUGCAAGAUCAUUGCAUUCUGUUUUUGUUAACAUUUUACACAUAUAUAUAUAUAUAUAUAUAUAUAUAUAUAUAUAUAUAUAUAUAUAUAUAUAUAUAUAUAUAUAUA
ensembl:lncRNA